rnacentral:rRNA from 1 species
CGAAUGCUGACAUAAGUAACGAUAAAGCGGGUGAAAAGCCCGCUCGCCGGAAGACCAAGGGUUCCUGUCCAACGUUAAUCGGGGCAGGGUGAGUCGACCCCUAAGGCGAGGCCGAAAGGCGUAGUCGAUGGGAAACAGGUUAAUAUUCCUGUACUUGGUGUUACUGCGAAGGGGGGACGGAGAAGGCUAUGUUGGCCGGGCGACGGUUGUCCCGGUUUAAGCGUGUAGGCUGGUUUUCCAGGCAAAUCCGGAAAAUCAAGGCUGAGGCGUGAUGACGAGGCACUACGGUGCUGAAGCAACAAAUGCCCUGCUUCCAGGAAAAGCCUCUAAGCAUCAGGUAACAUCAAAUCGUACCCCAAACCGACACAGGUGGUCAGGUAGAGAAUACCAAGGCGCUUGAGAGAACUCGGGUGAAGGAACUAGGCAAAAUGGUGCCGUAACUUCGGGAGAAGGCACGCUGAUAUGUAGGUGAAGUCCCUCGCGGAUGGAGCUGAAAUCAGUCGAAGAUACCAGCUGGCUGCAACUGUUUAUUAAAAACACAGCACUGUGCAAACACGAAAGUGGACGUAUACGGUGUGACGCCUGCCCGGUGCCGGAAGGUUAAUUGAUGGGGUCAGCGCAAGCGAAGCUCUUGAUCGAAGCCCCGGUAAACGGCGGCCGUAACUAUAACGGUCCUAAGGUAGCGAAAUUCCUUGUCGGGUAAGUUCCGACCUGCACGAAUGGCGUAAUGAUGGCCAGGCUGUCUCCACCCGAGACUCAGUGAAAUUGAACUCGCUGUGAAGAUGCAGUGUACCCGCGGCAAGACGGAAAGACCCCGUGAACCUUUACUAUAGCUUGACACUGAACAUUGAGCCUUGAUGUGUAGGAUAGGUGGGAGGCUUUGAAGUGUGGACGCCAGUCUGCAUGGAGCCGACCUUGAAAUACCACCCUUUAAUGUUUGAUGUUCUAACGUUGACCCGUAAUCCGGGUUGCGGACAGUGUCUGGUGGGUAGUUUGACUGGGGCGGUCUCCUCCUAAAGAGUAACGGAGGAGCACGAAGGUUGGCUAAUCCUGGUCGGACAUCAGGAGGUUAGUGCAAUGGCAUAAGCCAGCUUGACUGCGAGCGUGACGGCGCGAGCAGGUGCGAAAGCAGGUCAUAGUGAUCCGGUGGUUCUGAAUGGAAGGGCCAUCGCUCAACGGAUAAAAGGUACUCCGGGGAUAACAGGCUGAUACCGCCCAAGAGUUCAUAUCGACGGCGGUGUUUGGCACCUCGAUGUCGGCUCAUCACAUCCUGGGGCUGAAGUAGGUCCCAAGGGUAUGGCUGUUCGCCAUUUAAAGUGGUACGCGAGCUGGGUUUAGAACGUCGUGAGACAGUUCGGUCCCUAUCUGCCGUGGGCGCUGGAGAACUGAGGGGGGCUGCUCCUAGUACGAGAGGACCGGAGUGGACGCAUCACUGGUGUUCGGGUUGUCAUGCCAAUGGCACUGCCCGGUAGCUAAAUGCGGAAGAGAUAAGUGCUGAAAGCAUCUAAGCACGAAACUUGCCCCGAGAUGAGUUCUCCCUGACUCCUUGAGA